rnacentral:rRNA from 1 species
UCAUGAUUUACAUUUGAGUGAGUGGCGAACUGGUGAGUAACACGUGGGAAACCUGCCCAGAAGCGGGGGAUAACACCUGGAAACAGAUGCUAAUACCGCAUAACAACUUGGACCGCAUGGUCCGAGUUUGAAAGAUGGCUUCGGCUAUCACUUUUGGAUGGUCCCGCGGCGUAUUAGCUAGAUGGUGGGGUAACGGCUCACCAUGGCAAUGAUACGUAGCCGACCUGAGAGGGUAAUCGGCCACAUUGGGACUGAGACACGGCCCAAACUCCUACGGGAGGCAGCAGUAGGGAAUCUUCCACAAUGGACGAAAGUCUGAUGGAGCAACGCCGCGUGAGUGAAGAAGGGUUUCGGCUCGUAAAACUCUGUUGUUAAAGAAGAACAUAUCUGAGAGUAACUGUUCAGGUAUUGACGGUAUUUAACCAGAAAGCCACGGCUAACUACGUGCCAGCAGCCGCGGUAAUACGUAGGUGGCAAGCGUUGUCCGGAUUUAUUGGGCGUAAAGCGAGCGCAGGCGGUUUUUUAAGUCUGAUGUGAAAGCCUUCGGCUCAACCGAAGAAGUGCAUCGGAAACUGGGAAACUUGAGUGCAGAAGAGGACAGUGGAACUCCAUGUGUAGCGGUGAAAUGCGUAGAUAUAUGGAAGAACACCAGUGGCGAAGGCGGCUGUCUGGUCUGUAACUGACGCUGAGGCUCGAAAGUAUGGGUAGCAAACAGGAUUAGAUACCCUGGUAGUCCAUACCGUAAACGAUGAAUGCUAAGUGUUGGAGGGUUUCCGCCCUUCAGUGCUGCAGCUAACGCAUUAAGCAUUCCGCCUGGGGAGUACGGCCGCAAGGCUGAAACUCAAAGGAAUUGACGGGGGGCCCGCACAAGCGGUGGAGCAUGUGGUUUAAUUCGAAGCUACGCGAAGAACCUUACCAGGUCUUGACAUACUAUGCAAAUCUAAGA